GUAAAAUUGGCUGUCAGAGGGGCCAGACUUUGGCUUUGUCAAGAGUGGCAGGAGCAGGUCUCCAGAGGGAGCAAGAUGAGUUAGCAAAGCUCAAGUCUUAGGACCGUGUCUUUAAAGACUUAGUUUAGGGUUGCUGGAGGAUAGAGCGGAGGGGGCCAGAGCCUCUAUCCAAACAUUUAUUGAAUCACCUACUCUCUGCAAAGAAAUGUAAUGGAUUUUAAAGGAUAGCAGAGAAGAGCUAUUGAAGAGCAGGAGAGCUCUUGGUCUGGUUUCUGAGUCUUGGGGGCUUCUCGGGAUCCUGAGGCCCUUAGGGGUCUUUCAUUUGGCGAGCCAGCCAGGAGACUGAGGAGACCCCAGACUCAUUACCACAACGGAGAGGAGUUUAAACAUGUCUCAACAGAUUUCCACUUCUGGUAGAAGAAUAUCAGUUGCUGACUACAGCCUGCUCCUAAAGACUUCAAGCCCUAGACUUGCUGUGGAUGUGAACCAGUCCAGCUGAUAUGGACACCACCUAUCUCUGCAACAGAGUCUGCCACCCAGAAGCUCCUAAUGAAUUCCCUGUAGGGGAAGCUGUAGCCACGUCUACUUAGGGGCUGGCUACAGGUGCCUGACCACGCUUUCGAGGGCGUGGUCAGGGUGAUGUAGUGUGACUGUGUUUUCUCUUUCGCUCUCUCUUUUGGGCUUGUGUACAGACCGCUGCCACGCCGGCUGACUAUGUCACUCUGUAAGUGAGGCUUUUCCCUAUUAAAUACCCUUAUAUUU
rnacentral:lncRNA from 1 species